rnacentral:rRNA from 1 species
AGUGAACGCUGGCGGUAGGCCUAACACAUGCAAGUCGAACGGCAGCACAGUAAGAGCUUGCUCUUACGGGUGGCGAGUGGCGGACGGGUGAGGAAUACAUCGGAAUCUACUUUUUCGUGGGGGAUAACGUAGGGAAACUUACGCUAAUACCGCAUACGACCUACGGGUGAAAGCAGGGGAUCUUCGGACCUUGCGCGAUUGAAUGAGCCGAUGUCGGAUUAGCUAGUUGGCGGGGUAAAGGCCCACCAAGGCGACGAUCCGUAGCUGGUCUGAGAGGAUGAUCAGCCACACUGGAACUGAGACACGGUCCAGACUCCGACGGGAGGCAGCAGUGGGGAAUAUUGGACAAUGGGCGCAAGCCUGAUCCAGCCAUACCGCGUGGGUGAAGAAGGCCCUCGGGUUGUAAAGCCCUUUUGUUGGGAAAGAAAAGCAGCAGGUUAAUACCCCGCUGUUCUGACGGGACCCAAAGAAUAAGCACCGGCGAACUUCGU